AUACUUAACUGGCAAGGAAAGGACCAUGAUCACAAAGGUGGUUUUCCCAAGUUGUGGCUUAUGCAUUGCACUCCAUUUGUGCUGACCACUGCGAUUUCCCCAAGUGUGGAAAACUCAACUGCAUAAUUUGUGGUAGUGGGGGGACUAUGUUUGCACUCUCCUCUG